GGUAGGCUGAAAGAGGACUGUGGAGAGCGAGUUGUUUCUUAGCUUCCCAAGGAGAUGUACGCAACACCGUUCGUGGCUUGUCUGCUUUGGAGGCAAUGACUCAGCACUUUGUCACUUCCACCUCUAGAGCGAUGUACGACAUGGCUUAGAGCCAAAUUUCCAAGGCGGUGAGAUCAGGGCUGGAAACAAACUGCAUUUCAGGUCUUUGUAUUAGAGGUUCCCGGUAGGCUGUAACAGCCCAGGGAAAAGUGAGAUCUUUCUCAACUUGCAAAAGAGAUGGAAUCAAGAGAGUCUGUGGCCUGUCUCCUCUUGAGUUUGCCAGGCAGGGCUUUGUGACUUCCACCUCUAGGGCAAUGUAUUACACCACAGAGCUGAAGGUCUUCUUCAGCCAGAUCAGGGAUGGGAAGAAAGUGCGUUUCACAGGCCUUUGUAAGAGAUGUUCAUGGUAGGCUCUAAGAGCACUGUGGAGAGUGAGUUGCUUCUUACCUUCCAAACCAGCUGGAAGCAAGAUGCUUUCUGGUUUGCCUGCCUUUAGGAAACAAUGCAGGACAUUUUGCCUUGCAACUCUAGGGCAACGUAGGACACGGCAGAGCAGAAGUUCUACUUCAGCAAGAUCAAGGCUGGGAAGAAACUGCGUUUCACAGAUCUUUGUGAGAGAUGUUCCCGGUAGAUGUAAGAGCACUAUUGAGAGGCAGUUAUUUCUUAGCUUCCGAGCGCUGGAAGCAAGACCGUUUGUGGCUUGACUUCUUUGGAGGCAAUGACUCAGCACUUUGUGACUUCCACCUCUAGAGCAAUGUAGGACACGGCAGAGCACAAUUUCUACUUCAGCGAGUUCAGGGCUGGAAAGCAACUGUGUUUCCCUGUCCUUUGUAAGAGAUUUUCCCGGUAGGCUGCAGGAGAACUGUGGAGAGCGAGUUGUUUCUUAGAUUCCCAAAGUGCUGGAAGCAAGACGCUAUGUGGGCUGUCUUCACUUGAAGGAAACGAGGCAGGACUUUGUGCCUUGCACCUCUAGGGCAAUGUAGAUCACGGGAGAGAAGAAGUUCUACUUCAGUGAGAUCACGGUUGGGAAGAAUCUGCCUUUCACAGAUCUUUCUUAGAGACGUUCCCGGUAGGCUGUAAGAGCACAGUGGAGAGUUAUUUGUUGCUUACCUUCCCAAAGAGCUGGAAAGAAGAGCGUUUGUGGCUUGUCUCCUUUGGUGGCAAUGAUUCACCGCUUUGUGUCUUCCAUCUCUGGAGUAAAGUGGGAUAUGGCUUAGAGCAGAGAUUCCAAGGCAGUGAGAUCAGGCUGGAAACAAACUGCAUUUCAGGCUUUUGUAUGAGAGGUUCCCAAUAGGCUGUAAGAGCCCUGUGGAAAGCGACUUCUUUCUGACCUUGCCAAACAGCUGGAAGCGAGACUGUCUGUGGCCUGUCUCCUCUUAAGGAAGGCAGGCAGGCCAUUGUGACUUCCAUCUCUAGGGAAAUGUAUUACACAGCAGAGCACAAGUUCUACUUCAGCGUGAUCAGGGCUGGGAAGAAACUGCAUUUCCCAGGCCUUUGUAAGAGAUGUUCCCUGAAGGCUGUAAGUGCACGGUGGAGAAUGAGUUGUUUAUUAGCUUACCAAAGAGCUGGAAGCAAGACCGUUUGUGGCUUCUCUCCUUUGGUGGGAAUGACUCAGCGCUUUGUGACUUCCACCUCUAGGGUAAUGUAUUACACAGCAGAGCAGAAGUUCUACUUCAAUGAGAUCAUGGAUGGGAAGAAACUGCGUUUCACAGGAUAUGUGAGAGAUGUUCCUGGUAGGCUGUAAGAGCACUGUGGAGAGCGAGUUGUUUCUUAGCUGCCCAAAGAGCUGGAAGCAAGACCGUUUGUGGCUUGUCUCCUUGGAGGCAAUGACUCAGCGUUUUGUCUCUUCCACCUCUAGAGCAAUGUAGAACAUGGCUUAGAGCAGAUGUUCCAAGGCGGGGAGAUCAGGGCUGGAAACAAACUACGUUUCAGGUCUUUGUAUGAG
ensembl:lncRNA